rnacentral:rRNA from 1 species
GUCCUUUAGUUUAAAUUUUAAGGUCUAGCCUGCCCGAUGAAGAAUUGAAUGGCCGCGAUAUUUUGAUCGUGCUAAGGUAGCAUAAUCAUUAGUUUUUUAAUUAAAAGCUAGUAUGAAGGGUUGGAUGAAAAAUUUUCUGUCUCUAAUUAAUUUUAUUAGAAUUUUAUUUUUAAGUUAAAAAGCUUAAAUAUAAUUAAAAGACGAGAAGACCCUAUAGAGUUUAAUAUAAUAAUUUAUUUAUAUCUUUAGAAUUUAAUUUAUAGAUUAAAAUUUAUAUUUAAUUGGGGUGAUUAAAAAAUUUAAAAAACUUUAAUUUUAUAUAAAUAUUAAUUAAUAAAUAUAUGAUCCAAUUUUUUUGAUUAUAAGAAAAAAUUACCUUAGGGAUAACAGCGUAAUCUUAUUAAAGAGUUCAAAUCGAAAAUAAGGAUUGCGA